rnacentral:SRP_RNA from 1 species
GCCGGGCAUGGUACUGCAUGCCUGUAGUCCCAGCUACCUGGGAGACUAAAGCAGGAAAAUUGCUUGAGUCCAGGAGUUUGAGGCCACAGUGAACUAUGAACAUGCCACUGCACUCUAGCCUGGGCAACAGGCAAUAGAGUGAGACCCUAUCUCAAAAAAAAAAAAAAAAAAGGUUCACCAUCAAUAUGUUGACCUCCCAGGAGCAGGAGACCACUAGGUUGCCUAAGGAGAGGUGAAUCGGCCCAAGUCAGAAAAAGAGCAGGCCAAAAAUCCCAUACUGAUGUGUGUAGUGGGCUAACACUUGUGAAGCCACUGUGCUCCACCCUGGGCAAUAUAACAAGACCUCAUUUCUU